rnacentral:rRNA from 1 species
UUUGAUCAUGGCUCAGGACGAACGCUGGCGGCGUGCCUAACACAUGCAAGUCGAACGGGGCCAGGUGCAACUCUGGUUCAGUGGCGGACGGGUGCGUAACACGUGAGGAACAUGACCUUCGGCGGGGGAUAGCCGGCCCAACGGCCGGGUAAUACCGCGUACGACCUUUCGGGGACAUCCCCGGCUGGUGAAAGCAGCAAUGCGCCGAAGGAGUGCCUCGCGGCCUAUCAGCUAGUUGGUGAGGUAACGGCUCACCAAGGCGACGACGGGUAGCUGGUCUGAGAGGAUGGCCAGCCACAUUGGGACUGAGACACGGCCCAGACUCCUACGGGAGGCAGCAGUGGGGAAUAUUGCGCAAUGGGCGAAAGCCUGACGCAGCGACGCCGCGUGUGGGAUGACGGCCUUCGGGUUGUAAACCACUGUCGGGAGGGACGAAUGCGCCGCAAGGCGAGUGACGGUACCUCCAAAGGAAGCACCGGCUAACUCCGUGCCAGCAGCCGCGGUAAUACGGAGGGUGCAAGCGUUGUCCGGAAUCACUGGGCGUAAAGGGCGCGUAGGCGGCCUGGUAAGUAGGGGGUGAAAUCUUGCGGCUUAACCGCAAGGCUGCCUUCUAAACUGUCAGGCUAGAGCACAGUAGAGGCAGGUGGAAUUCCCGGUGUAGCGGUGGAAUGCGUAGAGAUCGGGAAGAACAUCAGUGGCGAAGGCGGCCUGCUGGGCUGUUGCUGACG